CCUUUCCUUGCACUCUUGCAGCUUACUUAAAGCUAUAUUAAGUGUAUUUUUUCAACAUUAAAAGUCUACCAUAUACAAAUACUUCAUCUUUUGUACGUUGUGUUUUCAUGCAUCAGUGAUGCUGUAAUAGAGGCGAGGGCUCCAAGUACUAACAUCGAAUAUGAAGACAACAAGGGAGACAUUUACCACGAAAUUGAACCGAGUAGACAAACCACUGCUACUGACAACCCUCUUUAUCAAAGCUCAGAUGAAGACAAACAUGUCUAUGCAAGUUUUGCAUGAUAAUCAAGACCUCAAAACAAAAAAACAUAGGUGGUUUCACAAAUGACAUAAAACAGUUAACUUUAUAGGAAUUGGGAGCUUAGUAUUGCUUUAAAUAGAUAGGAAUGCACUGGUGCUUUUGAGGAAGUUUACUGAUUCUGACACAUGAGUAAAAUAAUAUUUCAAACGUCUGUCGAAUAGGAAAAAAAACAAUUGCUGAUUAGCAGAGCCUCUUUAUUUCCACUUGCGCGAGUAAUGAGGAUCACUACUACCAUUAUACAAGGAAAAUAUAGCACAUUAUCCGGUAGAAAAAUAGGUGCAAAAAUAGUUGCAACAUGAAAUGCAUUAUGGCACUUAUUUUCCACUAGGAUAAUGUAUUUUAUGGCUAAAAGCGUCCCAUGACAAGUAAAAAUUACGUCACCGCAAAGGAAGUUUUUCUUCGAUCAUUUUUCCGCAUUAGCAUUUGGGAUCGAUCGCAAUUUUUUAUUUCUGGUCUUGAGCUUCAGUACUACAUUAUUAUCAUAGAUAACAAUUUAAAAUAUACGGAUCAAUGUUUUAUUAUGUUUUAAUUGUAUUGCAUGAUAAAGAGUCUAUGAGAUAACUCGGGCAUGAUAACAGCUAGUUCUGAUAGUCAAUUGAUACUUCACAAUUUUGGUAGAUUAGAUUUUUCAAACAUUGAGUAGUAAAUAUGUACAAAAUAUUGAUAGAAAAUUGUGAAUUGAGUGUUUAUUCCGAUAAAUAAUUUCAACUUAA